rnacentral:lncRNA from 1 species
GUUAAGGGACAUAUUUUAUUUCAUAGCUUUUCUGCAAGCAAACUUGCUUGGAUACAAAAUGAGUUCAAUGGUACAGGUGCUACUGUCCACUCAAGCAAAAGAAAACCUCACAUUUAGAUGAAUGCAUUUUAUGAUGAUACUCUUACAGGAUAUAGUAAAGGCUUCAGGAAGGGCCACGGCGGAACCAACUGCACUAUCUCUUGGAGGACUUGUCCAGUUUACUGGCAGGUGACUUCCUCUGGGGCGUGGGGAUUUUGGAAGGCUUGGCUCCAGGCGGCCGAGAACCUGCUCGGGGCGUAGGCCUGUGUACGGGGGGGACAGUCUCCACGUCGGAGCACGCGGACUGGAUCUCCGAGAUGUCGAAGUCCGAGGCGUCACUGCCGCGGCGGCUGCUGGCCCGGCUGCCAGCUUUGCUGCCAGCCCGGCUCCCAGGUCGGCUCGGCGUCCUCCUGGGAUCUGAGGAGAGAGAGGGCGCAGACAGGUCAUCCUGCCCUCUGCGCCCCACUGCCACUGGUUCUCGAAGCUCAACACCACGUUCAAUCUCAGCUAGUCUGCUGGACACCCAGGAGGCGCUCAGGCAAUACCUGCGGGUUUUACGGCCUUGCUGUGACCCUUAAGUGGAUAAAAUAUACAAAAAGCUGGAUACACACACAAAGUGGAGGUUGGGGGCCAUCCCACUUAAACAGGAAUUCCACUGACUGGACACAGAUGGACGGAUUAGACGUGCUGAACUGGAGACUGUGUUUUCCAAAGUGUGGCAGGUCUGCCCUAGGGACGUGUGCAGUGCAAAUACACAGCACGCACUUGGCGCAAGUCUUACCUGCAGAUAAGGGAUUCAAAGCAGAGGGGAACGGAAGACAAAAGCUUUGUUUAAAGAAGCUUCCGCCUUGCUAUAGAGAAAGCUGAGCGCCAAAGAAUUGCUGCUUUUGAACUGUGGUGUUGGAAAAGACU